CCUCCUUUUCUUGGCGAGGUCCAGGCAUGUGGUCCUGCUCCCGGUUAUGUGCGGUGGUGGAGAGAAAGGGCCCGGGCAUGUCUUCGGUGCCAAAGUGCUGAGAAGUGACAGUAGAGAAUACCUCACUAAGUAAGACACCU
rnacentral:snoRNA from 1 species